UAGGGAAUCUUCGGCAAUGGACGAAAGUCUGACCGAGCAACGCCGCGUGAGUGAAGAAGGUUUUCGGAUCGUAAAACUCUGUUGGUAGAGAAGAACGUUGGUGAGAGUGGAAAGCUCAUCAAGUGACGGUAACUACCCAGAAAGGGACGGCUAACUACGUGCCAGCAGCCGCGGUAAUACGUAGGUCCCGAGCGUUGUCCGGAUUUAUUGGGCGUAAAGCGAGCGCAGGUGGUUUAUUAAGUCUGGUGUAAAAGGCAGUGGCUCAACCAUUGUAUGCAUUGGAAACUUGUAGACUUGAGUGCAGGAGAGGAGAGUGGAAUUCCAUGUGUAGCGGUGAAAUGCGUAGAUAUAUGGAGGAACACCGGUGGCGAAAGCGGCUCUCUGGCCUGUAACUGACACUGAUGCUCGAAAGCGUGGGGAGCAAACA
rnacentral:rRNA from 1 species